rnacentral:rRNA from 1 species
AUCGAACGCUGGCGGCAUGCCUAACACAUGCAAGUCGAGCGGAGCGGCGGACGGGUGAGUAAUGCCUAGGAAUCUGCCUGGUAGUUGGGGACAACGUUCGGAAACGGGCCCUAUUACCGCAGACUAUCAGAGUGGCCUCGGGUGGCUUGGCUAGUUGGUGGGGUAAAGGCCUACCAAGGCGACGAUGCGUAACUGGUCUGAGAGGAUGAUCAGUCACACUGGAACUGAGACACGGCCCAGACUCCUCCGGGAGGAAGCAGUGGGGAAUAUUGGGCAAUGGGCGAAAGCCUGAUCCAGCAAUGCCGCGUGUGUGAAGAAGGUCUUCGGAUUGUAAAGCACUUUUAGUUGGGAGGCGUUACCAACAGAAUAAGCACCGGCUAACUACGUGCCAGCAGCCGCGGUAAUAC